rnacentral:lncRNA from 1 species
GAUCGGGAAUUCCCGGGAUAAUCCCAUGGAUCCACCCGGAGCUGCUCCGGGGGAAUGUUGGGAUUUUCCCCUCUGGGGGAGGAUCCCGGGAUUGGCCCCGUCCUGCGGCGCCUCUGGAAAACUCCGGAGCUUUUCCAGCUGCCCUGGGCUCCCAGUCCCAUUCCCCUUAUCCCCAUUAUCCCAUUCCCAUUAUCCCAUUAUCCCAUUCGCAUCAUCCCAUUGUCCCAUUCCCAAUCCCAUUCCUGUUAUCCCAUUAUCCCAAUCCCAUUCUCCCAAUUCCCAUUCCCAUUCUCCCAAUCCCAUUCUCCCAUUCCCAUUUUCCCAAUCCCAUUCUCCCAUUCCCAUUUUCCCAUUCCCAUCCCCAUUCCCAAUCUCAUUACCCCCUUAUCCCAUUCCCAAACCCAAUCCCAUUAUCCCCUCCCCAUCCCCAUUCCCAUUCUCCCAUUCCCAUUAUCCCAAUCCAAAAUUCCUGAUCCCAUUCCCAUUAUCCCAAUCCCAUUAUCCCAAUCCCAUUCCCAAUCUCCCAUUCCCAUUCUCCCAUUCCCAUUCUCGCAAUUCUAUUCUCCCAAUCCCAUUUUCCCAAUUCCAUUAUCGCAUUCUCCCAAUCCCAUCAUCCCAAUCCCAUUCCCAUUAUCCCAAUCCCAUUAUUGCAUACCCAUUCCCAUUCUCCCAUUCCUAUUAUGCCAUUCCCAUAAUCCCAUUCCCAUUUUUCCAAUCCUAAUCCCAUUAUCCCAUCCCCAUCCCCAUUCCCAUUUUCCUAUUCUUGUUAUCCCAAUCCCAUUAUCCCAUCCCCAUUCCCAUUCUCCCAUUCCCAACCCCAUUAUUCCAAUCCCAUUCCCAUCCUCCCAAUCCCAUUAUCCCAAUGCCAUUCUCCCAUUCCCAAUCCCAUUAUCCCAAUCCCAUUAUUACAAUCCCAAUCCCAUUCUCCCAUUCCCAUUAUCCCGAUCCCAUUCUCCCAUUCCCGUUAUCCCGUUUCCAUUAUCCCAAUCCCAUUAUCCCAAUCCCAUUCCCAUUUUCCCAUUCCCAUUACCCCAAUCCCAAUCCCAUUCCCCCAAUCCCAUUUUCCCAUUUUCCCAUCAUCCCAUCAUCC